GGUUAAGCGACUAAGCGUACACGGUGGAUGCCCUGGCAGUCAGAGGCGAUGAAGGACGUGCUAAUCUGCGAAAAGCGUCGGUAAGGUGAUAUGAACCGUUAUAACCGGCGAUGUCCGAAUGGGGAAACCCAGUGUGUUUCGACACACUAUCAUUAACUGAAUCCAUAGGUUAAUGAGGCGAACCGGGGGAACUGAAACAUCUAAGUACCCCGAGGAAAAGAAAUCAACCGAGAUUCCCCCAGUAGCGGCGAGCGAACGGGGAGGAGCCCAGAGCCUGAAUCAGUGUGUGUGUUAGUGGAAGCGUCUGGAAAGGCGCGCGAUACAGGGUGACAGCCCCGUACACAAAAAUGCACAUGCUGUGAGCUCGAUGAGUAGGGCGGGACACGUGGUAUCCUGUCUGAAUAUGGGGGGACCAUCCUCCAAGGCUAAAUACUCCUGACUGACCGAUAGUGAACCAGUACCGUGAGGGAAAGGCGAAAAGAACCCCGGCGAGGGGAGUGAAAAAGAACCUGAAACCGUGUACGUACAAGCAGUGGGAGCCCUGAUUUAUCAGGGUGACUGCGUACCUUUUGUAUAAUGGGUCAGCGACUUAUAUUCUGUAGCAAGGUUAACCGAAUAGGGGAGCCGGAGGGAAACCGAGUCUUAACUGGGCGUUAAGUUGCAGGGUAUAGACCCGAAACCCGGUGAUCUAGCCAUGGGCAGGUUGAAGGUUGGGUAACACUAACUGGAGGACCGAACCGACUAAUGUUGAAAAAUUAGCGGAUGACUUGUGGCUGGGGGUGAAAGGCCAAUCAAACCGGGAGAUAGCUGGUUCUCCCCGAAAGCUAUUUAGGUAGCGCCUCGUGAAUUCAUCUCCGGGGGUAGAGCACUGUUUCGGCAAGGGGGUCAUCCCGACUUACCAACCCGAUGCAAACUGCGAAUACCGGAGAAUGUUAUCACGGGAGACACACGGCGGGUGCUAACGUCCGUCGUGAAGAGGGAAACAACCCAGACCGCCAGCUAAGGUCCCAAAGUCAUGGUUAAGUGGGAAACGAUGUGGGAAGGCCCAGACAGCCAGGAUGUUGGCUUAGAAGCAGCCAUCAUUUAAAGAAAGCGUAAUAGCUCACUGGUCGAGUCGGCCUGCGCGGAAGAUGUAACGGGGCUAAACCAUGCACCGAAGCUGCGGCAGCGACACUGUGUGUUGUUGGGUAGGGGAGCGUUCUGUAAGCCUGCGAAGGUGUGCUGUGAGGUAUGCUGGAGGUAUCAGAAGUGCGAAUGCUGACAUAAGUAACGAUAAAGCGGGUGAAAAGCCCGCUCGCCGGAAGACCAAGGGUUCCUGUCCAACGUUAAUCGGGGCAGGGUGAGUCGACCCCUAAGGCGAGGCCGAAAGGCGUAGUCGAUGGGAAACAGGUUAAUAUUCCUGUACUUGGUGUUACUGCGAAGGGGGGACGGAGAAGGCUAUGUUGGCCGGGCGACGGUUGUCCCGGUUUAAGCGUGUAGGCUGGUUUUCCAGGCAAAUCCGGAAAAUCAAGGCUGAGGCGUGAUGACGAGGCACUACGGUGCUGAAGCGACAAAUGCCCUGCUUCCAGGAAAAGCCUCUAAGCAUCAGGUAACAUCAAAUCGUACCCCAAACCGACACAGGUGGUCAGGUAGAGAAUACCAAGGCGCUUGAGAGAACUCGGGUGAAGGAACUAGGCAAAAUGGUGCCGUAACUUCGGGAGAAGGCACGCUGAUAUGUAGGUGAAGCGACUUGCUCGUGGAGCUGAAAUCAGUCGAAGAUACCAGCUGGCUGCAACUGUUUAUUAAAAACACAGCACUGUGCAAACACGAAAGUGGACGUAUACGGUGUGACGCCUGCCCGGUGCCGGAAGGUUAAUUGAUGGGGUCAGCGCAAGCGAAGCUCUUGAUCGAAGCCCCGGUAAACGGCGGCCGUAACUAUAACGGUCCUAAGGUAGCGAAAUUCCUUGUCGGGUAAGUUCCGACCUGCACGAAUGGCGUAAUGAUGGCCAGGCUGUCUCCACCCGAGACUCAGUGAAAUUGAACUCGCUGUGAAGAUGCAGUGUACCCGCGGCAAGACGGAAAGACCCCGUGAACCUUUACUAUAGCUUGACACUGAACACUGGUCCUUGAUGUGUAGGAUAGGUGGGAGGCUUUGAAGUGUGGACGCCAGUCUGCAUGGAGCCGUCCUUGAAAUACCACCCUUUAAUGGCUGGUGUUCUAACGUGGGCCCGUAAUCCGGGUUGCGGACAGUGUCUGGUGGGUAGUUUGACUGGGGCGGUCUCCUCCUAAAGAGUAACGGAGGAGCACGAAGGUUGGCUAAUCCUGGUCGGACAUCAGGAGGUUAGUGCAAUGGCAUAAGCCAGCUUGACUGCGAGCGUGACGGCGCGAGCAGGUGCGAAAGCAGGUCAUAGUGAUCCGGUGGUUCUGAAUGGAAGGGCCAUCGCUCAACGGAUAAAAGGUACUCCGGGGAUAACAGGCUGAUACCGCCCAAGAGUUCAUAUCGACGGCGGUGUUUGGCACCUCGAUGUCGGCUCAUCACAUCCUGGGGCUGAAGUAGUCCCAAGGGUAUGGCUGUUCGCCAUUUAAAGUGGUACGCGAGCUGGGUUUAGAACGUCGUGAGACAGUUCGGUCCCUAUCUGCCGUGGGCGCUGGAGAACUGAGGGGGGCUGCUCCUAGUACGAGAGGACCGGAGUGGACGCAUCACUGGUGUUCGGGUUGUCAUGCCAAUGGCACUGCCCGGUAGCUAAAUGCGGAAGAGAUAAGUGCUGAAAGCAUCUAAGCACGAAACUUGCCCCGAGAUGAGUUCUCCCUGAGACUUAGAGUCUCCUGAAGGAACGUUGAAGACGACGACGUUGAUAGGCCGGGUGUGUAAGCGCAGCGAUGCGUUGAGCUAACCGGUACUAAUGAACCGUGAGGCUUAACCUU
rnacentral:rRNA from 1 species